rnacentral:rRNA from 15 species
CGCUGUCUCCAACAUCGACUCAGCGAAAUUGAAUUACCUGUCAAGAUGCAGGUUUCCCGCGGUUAGACGGAAAGACCCCGUGCACCUUUACUACAGCUUCGCACUGGCUUCAGGCACAGCAUGUGCAGGAUAGGUGGUAGGCUUCGAAGCAGGGACGCCAGUCCCUGUGGAGCCUCCCUUGAGAUACCACCCUUGCUUUGCUUGAUGUCUAACCGCGGUCCGUUAUCCGGAUC